rnacentral:rRNA from 1 species
AAUAUUGCGCAAUGGGGGGAACCCUGACGCAGCAACGCCGCGUGAGUGAAGAAGGCCUUCGGGUCGUAAAACUCUGUCAUUAGGGAAGAAUAAAGUGACGGUACCUAAUGAGGAAGCCCCGGCUAACUACGUGCCAGCAGCCGCGGUAAUACGUAGGGGGCGAGCGUUAUCCGGAAUUAUUGGGCGUAAAGGGUGCGUAGGCGGCUUUUUAAGUCAGAUGUGAAAGGCUACGGCUUAACCGUAGUUAGCAUUUGAAACUAAAAGGCUUGAGUGCAGGAGAGGAGAGUGGAAUUCCUAGUGUAGCGGUGAAAUGCGUAGAUAUUAGGAGGAACACCAGUGGCGAAGGCGACUCUCUGGACUGCAACUGACGCUGAGGCACGAAAGCGUGGGGAGCGAAC